rnacentral:lncRNA from 1 species
CAGCCAGUGAACCAACUCAACUGGGCCGGGCAUGAACGCUUACAAGUAUCAGAAGUUCCUGGAGGGACUCAACAACCUUAGAGGUAUUACAAGGCUUCAGGCUCCCUACCCUUUGUCCUUGCUGAUCGUGUGAGCACUUAUUAUGGUGUGUAUUGUAUAGGGUCUGUAAAACCCUCCUGCUCUGAGCUGGCCCUAUUUUUUAUGCGUUUAGGCAAUUAAACAGAAGGGAUAGAGUUUGUAAAUGCAAUCCUAAGUGAGUAGGAGAGAAUCUCCUUAGGUAC